rnacentral:lncRNA from 1 species
UACUACUUCUAAAACAUUUCUUUGUUUACAUUUUAAUAGCUCUUAACAAACACAUACAUUUUUCAAGCUCCAUCUUUAUUUACAACUUCUAAUUUAGAUCUUUAGUAAGAUAUUAAUUUUUUUUCUUACACAUUUUCUUCAUUUUCUUUAACACCUAUAACAUGCUCCAAUCUAUAACAUGCUCCAACGCCUAGUUCAUUACAAUGUAGAGAUGAACUCUAGAGAGGGAGAAAACAAUAAUUUCACCAUACAACUAUAGCGUUACAAAAAUCAAUCCACGGUUGAAUUAAGCACAAACAUCAGCUUGAAAAAAACCCUAGUGCAAAGAUACAUGUAUUCUACAAACCACUCCAAGCAAAAAAUUAGAAAAAUUAGAAAAACGAAAAAAUUCUAACAAGCAAUAAUAAUGAUAACAAACCCCCCAUGAAAAAGCAACACGUACAGGACAAAAACAUGGAUGAUUGCACCAUCAAUUUAAAGCAUUCAAAUGCAAAGAACUAUGCCUUACACAAAUCAUCCCACCGGAAGUUAAGGAAAAUUUUUAAAAUAAAAAAUAAAACCCUUAAAAGCAAUUGAAAAAUCCCCAAAAAAUGAGAUGCUCACUGUGGAAAGCGUGGAUAAUUGCACCUACCAAGUACUGAGCAGGUUGAGCAGAAUGUCAGAAUUGGCUUGUCUUGUUCGGAGACAUUCGACGAAUGCGUUGCACCGCCCAGUAGACAGGACA